AUCUAAUCAUAGGCCGCCCAUCUGACCAAGACCCAAAAAGAGAAAGAGUUUAAGUAAAAAUACACGUCUAAAAAAUAAACUUGGACAAAAAACCAGGUGCAUUUUCAAAAUAGGCAGACCUAAGGUCUUUUGGCUCGAGCCAAGCUUAACAAGUCUACUCUAUACCCUUUCUUUUAUUUUCAUGAUUUCCUCAAGCAACCCUCCCCCCAAAUUUCUAUUUGUAAUCCUUAACAGUAACAACUCUAAAUCCAGUCUCCACUCCACCACCCAUCAGCCACCACCAUCAUCGUUCACCACUCCAGUCACCACCGUUCCACUACAUACCCACUAGUUCGUCAUCGUUCACCAUUGUUGUAGCAAGACUGAGAACCCAAAGACGAUUCUGUAUGCGGAGGAUUAGGUCCUUGGGGUCUAAAAAUUGUACGCAAGUAUAAGACCAAUUAGGAAGGAAAGUUCUAUAAGGUAAAGGUUGGUUUUAUUCCUUUAAUUUUAAGUUAACAUGAUGUUUUUCACUUCUUUCCAAUACCAUAAUCUAGGUGGAAUGAAACAAGUUGUUGCUUUUCAGAUGAAAAAGUUGAACUGGGCAAUAUGAAUUUUCAUUUCUUGUUGUUAUCCUUCCUAAUUCACUUGUAUCUUCAUGAUUUUUUUUAAUUCAAUUAAUUGCACAUAUAUCAUCCAAUAUUUGACCAACCUUGGUUAUUCUUAUUUUAAAAAAUUCUGCUCGAGUUUUCUUGGUUCAUUUCAUGUUUGUCAAUUUGCUGUGUAAGUAUUGAUGGCUUUACCAUUUAGUAGAAAACACCAAAAUGGAUAGCAAAGAAUUUCAAGUAACACACACUAAAGUAGUGGGAUGAUAUGCUUCUUUUUUUCUUUUUAAGUAUGUGUACAGCUUAUGUAUAAGUAAAUAAUAGAGAUAUAACAACUACUUUUCCCUUCUUCAUGGUUAAAGAUUAUGCAUACCAUAUUUUCGCUGCGAAAGCAAGUGGAGAGUUAUGCUUAAAAUAUAUAUUCUCUUUUGGAGCAUUGCCUUGGGUGCCCCUUCUAAAAAGGACUUGACUUUUUACUAAUUGAGUUUUUCCGCAGCCAACCAUAUAUGUCUUUAAAUUUUAAUUCUAUUUUUUUAUUUUUUUUCCUAUAUAUUAAUUAAGUUUUUACGAUUUCAAGACUUGAGUUUUUAUGACAAUGGCUAAUUCGAACACUCCAAUACUUGUGGACAAUGAGUUUAAUGAAUAUGAAAGUGCUCUCAAACGUCAAAAGUCUACUACUUCAAAGGUAGGGGAACAAAGAUGAAUUGAAGGCAUAAUGUAAUCACUGUAAGAGUACCUUCUUUGCUAAAUCCUCUGAUGGAACCUCCCAUUUAAGACAUCAUCUAAAUAGUUGUAUGAAAAAAUUUAAUAAGGUAUAACAAAGAUGAAUUGAUGGCAUAAUGUAAUCAAUGUAAGAGUACCUUCUUUGCUAAAUCUUCUAAUGGAAUCUCCCAUUUAAGACAUUAUCUAAAUAGUUGUUUGAAAAUUUUUAAUAAGAUAUCACUCAAUACACCAUAGUCACUCAACCAUCCUCAAGAGGUGGUCCAUAUAUAAAAACCUACAAGUUUGAUGUUGAUGAGUGUCAUCGAGUUGUCCUAAUGUAUUAUGCAAAAGAGAGAGACCAUGUCAAGAUUGGAAGUUACAAAAGUUAAUCAUAAGGUUUAGAGUCCAUAUAAUGGUUUGAACAUAGUGGAUGAACUUAUUUUUAUGUUUAUCCCAAUGGGAUACAGACAAUAAAAUUUUUAGCAUCACUUUGGAUAAUGCUUUUUAUAAUGAUGAUAUGGUUUCCUCUCUUAAAAAUUGUUUUCGUGCGAACCAGGCUCUUUUGUGUGAUGGUGCUUUUUUUUUUUUUUCAAAUUAGAUAUUGUGCACAUAUAUUGAAUCCUAUAAUUAAAGCUAGUUUGGAAUUUACUGAUGAUGUUGUUGGUAAGAUUUGAAAUAGAAUUAAGUACAUAAAAAAUCGAGAAUUCGUAGGAAAAUAUUUUAUGAUGUGGUCGACAAAAGAUUUCAUUUGAAUGUAACCAAAAAGUUUUGUCAAGAUUUGUGUGUGAGAUAGAAUUCUACUUAUUUGAUGUUUAAAUAUGCUUUUUACUAUAAAAGUAUGUUAGAUUAUUGGGGCCAACGAGAUAAAUAUUAUCAAAUAUUUAUACUUUUUGAUGAGGAGUGGAGAAAUAUUGUUAUUCUUUGCAAUUUUUUGAACAUUUGUUAGGAUGUGACGUAUUUUUUUUUUUGUUCUUAUUAUCCAACGAGUAAUCUUUAUUUUAGAGGGGUUUGGAAGGUUCACUAGAUCUUGCUUGAUACAGUUAAAGGUUCUCAUUUUUUUAAACUCCAAUGGUUAAGUAAAUGUAAGAGAAAUUUAAUAAAUAUUGGAUUGAGUAUUCUUUGAUAUUGUCAUGUGCUACAAUUUUAGAUCCUCAUUACAAAUUAAAUUAUGUGCAGUAUUGUUUUACUACAAUCUAUGAUACUUAUGCUUGAGGAUUUUGUGCAAACCAUUCUUAGCAAUCUUAAACUCUUAUUUGAUAAGUAUGUUAAGAACUCUAAAUCCACUUCUUCUUCUUUGGUCGAGAGUUCCAAUGUUUCGAAUAAUAAUUUAGUUUAUUCUAGUUUUCAUCAACUUAAUGUUAAUAAGGCUUAUUUGGGAUGAUAUUAUGAUUUGAGUGAUGAUUAUAAAUGACACUUAAGUGAAUCUAGUAGUAAGAGUGAAAAGUCAUAGUUGGACAUUUAUUUGGAAGUAUUAGAGCUUGAGUUGAAUAGCCAAAUAAAUGUAUUGGAGCAAAAGUUCAAUUCGAUAUCAUGAGUUUUCAUUAUUGGCUAGUGAUCUUUUGGCAAUUCUAAUAUUGAUUAUAGCUUCCGUGUCGGCUUUUAGCACGGGGAAGAAAGUUAUCACAACUUUGAGGAGUUCACUUAAACUAAAAAUGGUUCAAGCCAUUGUUUGCUUUGAUGAUUGGAUGCGAGCUAAGGGAUUUUCAACAAGUAAUUAUUAUUCUUGUUUUCUUGUUAUAAAUUUAUAACAUUUUAUCAAUUUGAUUAUCUAACUAUUUAUUUUUAUUUCAUUUUAGAAAUUAAUUGCAAGAAUGAUGACCACGAUGAUUUUUCGAUUCCUUUCUAAGUAUACAAUUUAGCUUACAAUUUAUAGUUUGUUAUAAAAUCAAA